UCCUCUCGUGCGCCGCCGACCGUCCCUCUCUUCUCCCGUUCGCAGCAAGCAGCCGCCGACCAUCCCUUCUCCUCUUCUCCUCUCCGUUCCGCCGGAUCGAGCCGAACUCAACCGCAACGUCUGUUUCUUCCUCCGUUCACCAAAGCCGAACCCACUUUCUUUUCUUCUUCGAUCCAAAACUGUCGCUGUAACCGUCGGCCACCGCGUAACUUUCUGUCCAGAUCUGCGUCGCCGUGCCCAGUCCUAACCGCCGCUGCAACCGUCUCCGCGCCAUUGCUGUGUCUCCGUCGAAGCCAAGGCCGCCGCGUGAACCAUUAACCGCCACGCCCUCCGCUCACAACCGUUGUCCAGAUCUGCAUCGCCGAGCCGUCCAGGUCCUCGCCGCCGCUCGUGCUUCACCCUUGCAGUUCGCAGUAGCCCAAAUCCGUCGCUGCAACCGUCGGCGCGGUUCGUGAAGCCCUGCCGCGCAACCUCUGUUUCCAGCCGCCGCCCAUUCCGUUCUCCUCUUUUUUCUGCACUGCCGCGCCACUCUCCGACCGCGUCUGUCUUCACCUCCGUGAAGUCGUCGACGCAUACAUCUUGUGAAGCCCGGUCGCCGUGUCAGAUCGAAUUUUGUGAGAUAUGUGUCGUGAAAGUAAUCGAAUUUUGUAUUGUUAUGCUUAGGAUUGUUUCGAGAACGUUAGUUGAUUAAGGAGCUUCCCUAACUUUGAGGUAAGGGAUUUUCUACCGGACUCACUUAUGAUUGUGAAUUGUAUGUCUGUAUAUGUUGAGAUUAUAUAUAUACACGUAUGGAUGUAGAUUCGGUGUUGAAUGUAUACUGUGGAUGACUGAAAAUAUAUAUAUACAUAUUUGAAGUAGACUUGAUGUUGAAUGCAUAUUGUGAUUGUCUUGGAAUAUAUAUAUAUGUGUGUGGAUGUAGACAGGACGAAAAUUGUAGAUUGUGUUUGUAUGAGAUGCGGAUGUGAACUUGUGAUUGUCGUUUAGAUGGGUGUACGUUACUAAAGUAUGACUGUGUGCUGGUGAACUGAGGGGUUAUGACUAUAGUUUGAUUGACUGACGUAUUAGUAUGUUAUUGACAGACAUUGACUAAAGUGAGAUAAGUUGACUGUUAGAACGUUGAGUGAAAGAACUUUAUAUUUUGAAGUAACUGAAAGAUGGUAUUGAAUGGAUUGAGGGGAAAAUUGUUAGCUUUUAUUGGGAUGUGUGCCUUGUAGGUGUCCCACGGGAUCACCAAUUUAUUCUGCACCUUCGGGAGCAUUAGACUGAUAUGUGUUUCUGCAGAACACUAGACUGAAAUGUACGUCCCUCGGGUUAGACUGAAAUGUGCAUCCUACGGGAUCACAAGACUGCGACUGUACAGGGUGUCCCAAUAGAAUGUUAACAAUUUAUUUUCCCCUGACGGGACCAGUAGAGGGUCUCUUACUGGUAUUUUAUACUCACCCUUCUUAUGUUUAAUUUUCAGGCAAAGGUAAUAAAGGCGGCAAACCGGCGAGGGCAGGAAGGAAGCGUGAUUGCCAUAGGAAAUGUGUUAUUUUGCUUCCGCUUAUUGUUUUUUUGAGGUUUAAGAUGUAUUGAAACUUAGUUUACAAACUUUUAUUUGUAAAUAGUUUUUUUUAAGUUUUUUGAAUAUUUGAAAAUCAGGCCUGACUUAAAUUGUUUUUCAAUUGGCUUACAUUUCAUUUUGUAUCAACCAAAGUCUUUUGUCAAAAAUUAACGACCUCGACUUACCUAGAAAAGUUGGGUCGUUACAGUUGGUAUCAGAGCCUAAGUUUUAGGUUCUGUAGACUGACUUACGAUGUAAGUCUAUGUUUUUGUCCUAUGGCUAACGCGACCCUUCGUCUCUCGUCAGGUAUGCUUUAUGCUUAUAUGUAUGGUUUAUUUGCAUGACUUUGCCUAAAUUAAACUAGAUUGCAUGACGAUAAAGACUUGCUUAUGCUUAUGAUUAAGACUUUUUAAAGAGUGUUGUUGGUGGAUAAUAGGAAUUAUGCCGCCAAAGAGAGGUGUACGUAGAG
rnacentral:lncRNA from 1 species